rnacentral:misc_RNA from 1 species
GAUGAAGAACGCAGCGAAAUGCGAUACGUAAUGUGAAUUGCAGAAUUCAGUGAAUCAUCGAAUCUUUGAACGCAUAUUGCGCUCUCUGGUAUUCCGGAGAGCAUGCUUGUUUGAGUAUCAGUAAACACCUCAACUUCCAUAUCUUUUUUGAAAUGGGAGUUGGACUUGAGUGAUCCCAACGCUUUUCCUCACCGAAAAGUGGCGGGUUACUUGAAAUGCAGGUGCAGCUGGACUUUUCUCUGAGCUAUAAGCAUAUCUAUUUAGUCUGCCUAAAAAACAGAUUAUUACCUUUGCUGCAGCUAACAUAAAGGAGAUUAGUUCUUGUGCUGACUGAUGCGGGAUUCACAAAGACGGCUUCGGCCGACUUUGUAAACUCGAUCUCAAAUCAAGUAAGACUACCCGCUGAACUUAAGCAUAUCAAUAAGCGGAGGA